AGUUGAGAACCGUUACUUGACUGGUACCUCCAGCCCACCAGCAGGCAAUGAUGGCAUCAGACUAGAGGAUCACCAGUAAAUCAUUGUAAACAAGCGUGGAAAGAGAGAAAGUCCACUUUAAGCGAUGGAAAAUCAGCCCCAAUUCUGAAGGAACAACCAUGAACAGAUGAUUUAAGGAGAAUCAAUUCUUUGCUCUUUGCAGAAGGAGCCAACAGAGUGAGAUGAAGGGGACAACUUCAGAUACUCAGGCAGAAGCAUAAGUCCCCACCUGCUGACCUGCUGCCUGCUAUCUUAACACGAAUUCUUCAUCUGAAUGGAUGAGCUUUUCACAGAUCCUUCCACCCCACUUGCUGAUACAGCUUCAACAAAGAAGGGUGUUCACCAACUGACUACAAGAAUCAUUGCUAACCAGGGAUGACUCAUUCUCACAUCCAUCCUAAAUAGACUUCCUUGGAUACAAAAAAUCCAGAGUUUGCCGUAUCUCCAUGGACACUGUCAUUUAGACAGGACACUUACUUCUUGGGAAACUCACUUCCAUUUUCCUAAUAAGGUUCCCUUUGAAGACUAAGAAUUUCUCCAAGACAAAAUUCAUGUAAGCCAAAAUACCAGACAUCAGGCCUGUAAUUGUGGUCACCCUGGCCACAGCCAAGUUGUCACCUUCACUCACGAUCAUCUUUCUGCCCUCUGCUACUUGUAGAAUAAUGAUCAUAAAGUAUUGUUGUCUGAAGCCCCUUUAGAAAAGUUGAUUUACAGCAGCCCAUGAGAGAGGUAGAUUAGAGAUGACCAAUGUCCUGAGAACACCAAGAAGCACUCAUCUUUGAUUCUCAGGGCUUGACAUUUCAGAAACAAAUCCAGACACAUUAUAAUAAUGACCCUGGUCCAUUGUGAGCCCAUUAGAAAACACUCACAAAUAAGUAUUCAAAAUUUUCCAGUUAUUUUGACUCCUAAAAAUGUCUUCCAAGAUAUAUCAAAGUUUCCGUAAUUUUGCAAUCAACUUGGUUUUUAUUUAAACCAAGUAGCAACUCUCUCUGUAGCAACCCUGACUUUUCUUGUUAUUAAAUCACUCUAUAAUUAAAUAUAAAGUUAUUGGUGACAUUCACAGAAAAUCCUAGAGAGUAUGGAGUUCUUGCUACAGAAGAUAUACUUUAUUGAAAUGUAAAAGAAGUCAGUUAAAUUUAUAAU
rnacentral:lncRNA from 1 species